UUUCCCUCAGGAUAGCUGGCACUCGCUUGAGCGAGUCUCAUCUGGUAAAGCGAAUGAUUAGAGGCCUUGGGGCCGAAACGACCUCAACCUAUUCUCAAACUUUAAAUGGGUGAGAUCUCUGGCUUGCUUGAACGUUGAAGCCACGAGAUGUGCGCGCGCGCGCACGUAACAGUGUUAGCGCGCCGCAAUUCGGAUCAGAGUGCCAAGUGGGCCAAUUUUGGUAAGCAGAACUGGCGCUGUGGGA
rnacentral:rRNA from 1 species